GACGAACGCUGGCGGCGUGCUUAACACAUGCAAGUCGAACGGAAAGGCCCUGCUUUUGUGGGGUGCUCGAGUGGCGAACGGGUGAGUAACACGUGAGUAACCUGCCCUUGACUUUGGGAUAACUUCAGGAAACUGGGGCUAAUACCGGAUAGGAGCUCCUGCUGCAUGGUGGGGGUUGGAAAGUUUCGGCGAUUGGGGAUGGACUCGCGGCUUAUCAGCUUGUUGGUGGGGUAGUGGCUUACCAAGGCUUUGACGGGUAGCCGGCCUGAGAGGGUGACCGGGCACAUUGGGACUGAGAUACGGCCCAGACUCCUACGGGAGGCAGCAGUGGGGAAUAUUGCACAAUGGGCGGAAGCCUGAUGCAGCAACGCCGCGUGCGGGAUGACGGCCUUCGGGUUGUAAACCGCUUUCGCCUGUGACGAAGCGUGAGUGACGGUAAUGGGUAAAGAAGCAACGGCUAACUACGUG
rnacentral:rRNA from 1 species